CCCCUGUUUUUCUGUUUUAGCUUUUUGUAUUAUGUAUUAUGCGUUUUUUUUUUUUUUUUUUUUUUGUUUUUUUUUUUAAACACAAUGACCUCUCAAUCAGCAACGCUUAUGCAUUCGAUCCACAUAGCGAUCAUGCCCUAACUAUGACCUCCAAUUGAGUGACGAUGAGACCAAGAGUGGCCGCGCUAUCUUAUACAUUCG
rnacentral:lncRNA from 1 species